ACAAGCAUUUGGAUAUCAGCUGGAGAAUGGCAUACCUAUAGAAAGUUGGUUUGCCGAUCGUUCGGAUAACGAAUUAAUGAAAUUAUUACCAUUUUUGGAAAAUCUAGUAAACUGGGGAGGCGAUGUAAGGCCGCGCAUUAGAGAACAGUUUCGAUUAUUCAGCUUUCUACCACCGGAUUAAUUUAACUAGCGUGCACAAAAUUCAA